rnacentral:rRNA from 1 species
UGGGGAAUAUUGGACAAUGGGCGAAAGCCUGAUCCAGCCAUGCCGCGUGUGUGAAGAAGGUCUUCGGAUUGUAAAGCACUUUAAGUUGGGAGGAAGGGCAGUAAGCGAAUACCUUGCUGUUUUGACGUUACCGACAGAAUAAGCACCGGCUAACUCUGUGCCAGCAGCCGCGGUAAUACAGAGGGUGCAAGCGUUAAUCGGAAUUACUGGGCGUAAAGCGCGCGUAGGUGGUUCGUUAAGUUGAAUGUGAAAACCCCGGGCUCAACCUGGGAACUGCAUCCAAAACUGGCGAGCUAGAGGAGGGCAAAGGGUGGUGGAAUUUCCUGUGUAGCGGUGACAUACGUAGAUAUAGGAAGGAACACCAGUGGCGAAAGCGACCACCUGGGCUCAUACUGACACUGAGGUGCGAAAGCGUGGGGAGCAAACAGG